UACGGGAGGAGCAAGCGUUGUUCGGAUUUACUGGGCGUAAAGGGCGCGUAGGCGGCCACCGCAAGUCGAUUGUGAAAUCUCCGGGCUUAACCCGGAAAGGUCAACCGAUACUGCGGGGCUAGAGUGCAGAAGGGGCAACUGGAAUUCUCGGUGUAGCGGUGAAAUGCGUAGAUAUCGAGAGGAACACCUGCGGCGAAGGCGGGUUGCUGGGCUGACACUGACGCUGAGGCGCGAAAGCUAGGGGAGCGAACGGG
rnacentral:rRNA from 1 species